rnacentral:rRNA from 1 species
CCGAAAGGGUUUUUUCCCUUAAUUUAAAAUCCCUAUUUUUACUAAGAGUAUGCGUAGAGAUGACCGCGCCCUUAGUAGUGGUAAGUAAGGCUCCCAAGCGACGAUCGUAGCGACUGAGAGGUGAUCGCCACAUGGAAUGAACACGUCCAACUCUACGGGAGCAGCAGUGGGAAUAUGCGCAAUGGGGAAACCUGAUGCAGCACGCCGCGUGAUGAGAAGCCUCAGGUCGUAAAGUUUGUCAUAAGGAAGAUAUGACGUACUUAUGAGAAGCCCGGCUACUACGUCCAGCAGCCGCGGUAUACGUAGGGGCUAGCGUUUCCGGAUUACUGGGGUAAAGGUGCGUAGGUGGUUUUUAAGUCAGAUUGAAAUACCAGGGCUCAACUGUAGUGCUGCAUUGGAAAUUGGGAAUCUGGAUUCCAGAAGAGAAAAUCGAAAUUCUUAGUGAACCGGUAAAUUGGGUGGUAAUUAGGAGGACCACCAGUGCGAAGGGGGGUUUUUUGGACUGUAAUGGCCGUUGAGCCAGAAAAGCGUGGGGACCAACCAGGUUUGGUUCCCUUGGUGUUCCACCCCUUAAACGAUGAAUAUUAGGUGUAGGAGUUAUCCCCCCCUUCUCUGCCGCAGUUACCACAAUAACUAUUCCGCGUGGGGAGUACGAUAACAGGAUACAACUCAAAGGAAUUGAGGGGGCCCACAACAAGCAGCGGAUCAUGUGGUUUAAUUCGAAGCAACGAGAACGAACCUUACCUUGACUUUCCAUCCCCCGAAUUACUAAUAAGGAUUUUACCCCUUUGGGGGCAGGGGAGACAGGUGGUGCAUGGUUGUCGUCAGCUCGUGUCGUGAGAUGUUGGGUUAAGUCCCGCAACGAGCGCAACCCUUUCCUUUAGUUGCUACCAUUAAGUUGAGCACUCUAGAGGGACUGCCAGGGAUAACCGGGAGGAAGGUGGGGAUGACGUCAAAUCAUCAUGCCCCUUAUGUCUAGGGCUACACACGUGCUACAAUGGUUGGUACAAUGAGCAGCAAUGUCGUGAGGUGGAGCUAAUCUUAUAAAACCAAUCCCAGUUCGGAUUGUAGGCUGAAACUCGCCUACAUGAAGCCGGAGUUUCUAGUAAU